GGAUGGGCUCGCGGCCUAUCAGCUUGUUGGUGGGGUAAGGGCCCACCAAGGCGACGACGGGUAGCCGGCCUGAGAGGGAGACCGGCCACACUGGGACUGAGACACGGCCCAGACUCCUACGGGAGGCAGCAGUGGGGAAUAUUGCACAAUGGGCGAAAGCCUGACGCAGCAACGCCGCGGGCGGGAUGACGGCCUUCGGGUUGUAAACCUCUUUC
rnacentral:rRNA from 1 species